rnacentral:rRNA from 1 species
UGGGGAAUAUUGGGCAAUGGACGCAAGUCUGACCCAGCAACGCCGCGUGAAGGAAGAAGGCUUUCGGGUUGUAAACUUCUUUUAAGGGGGAAGAGCAGAAGACGGUACCCCUUGAAUAAGCCACGGCUAACUACGUGCCAGCAGCCGCGGUAAUACGUAGGUGGCAAGCGUUGUCCGGAUUUACUGGGUGUAAAGGGCGUGCAGCCGGAGAGGCAAGUCAGAUGUGAAAUCCGCGGGCUCAACCCGCGAACUGCAUUUGAAACUGCUUCCCUUGAGUAUCGGAGAGGUAACCGGAAUUCCUAGUGUAGCGGUGAAAUGCGUAGAUAUUAGGAAGAACACCAGUGGCGAAGGCGGGUUACUGGACGACAACUGACGGUGAGGCGCGAAAGCGUGGGGAGCAAACAGG